rnacentral:tRNA from 1 species
GGGCCUGUAGCUCAGUUGGUUAGAGCAGCGGACUCAUAAUCCGUUGGUCCACAGUUCAAGUCUGUGUAGGCCCACCA